AGUGGCUGAAAACGCCUUGCCAAGGUUGGUGUGAGCCUAGCUUACCAAUUUUUGUUAAGAAGCUUAAAUGCAUUUACAACAUUUAAGGUCUCGAUUAGCCUAAACAGUGACUCAAACCAUGCAAGAACACAAUUCUAGACCCCUGCUGGCCUGUGCUCACAUUGUUCUGAAAAACUAGACCGUUUUCACAUCUCAUACUGUUGGUGGCAGUAUCAACUAUUUUUGCUGGUUUUGCCAUUUUUGAAUACACAGUGAAAAAACGUCACUGCAGGUGUGAAUAACAAAGAAUAGGCACAAGUGAGUUGUGCUAUUUUUGGAAGAGUCCUGCGGGCACCUUGUGUGGUCCUUGGGGCCCUGGUCUAUACUUACUGUACAUAGUGUAUAGCAUAUUUGAUAAAGUAUAAUUGAUAAAAUAGAAUUAAAGUCUUCUACUUUUUGAAUUUGGGAAUCUAUUUACACAAGUUUAUGAUUGACAUCAUCAAUACAGGGAAAAAGAUUUUCAUGAACAGAAUCUGUUGCCUUGAUGUCAAAUCAAAUCAUUUUUUGUUUUUUAUCAAUUUUCAAACUGUGCACCCAAAUUGAUAUUUUCAGUAAAAAGAUUAUUUUCUGUCAAAAUGUUUGAUAAAAAAGGGAAUUAUGUUCAUCGUAAAAAACAAAAACGCAUUAAUUGAGUUUCUUUGUGCAUCUCAUCUGCAUUUGAAGGCUUUACACAUCAUCACUCCUGUCACGUCAUUGUUUUUUUCACCAUGUGUACACAGGUGAACCUCUUUUUUUUAAGCCGUUUACAGCCUGGGCUCUUUGUUCAGUCAAAGCUGCCUUUGCAGGUUCUUAAGUCAGCCCAGGUUCCCUGUUUACCUGGAGCUUAGCACCUCUUUCUUUUUUCCUCUUCCAAAUAGGAAUCUUACAGCCACUUCAAAGCUUUGAAGCUUGGCUUCAAUGGUCUGGAUCUGACAGCAUCUGAUGAGUUAUUGGUUCUCUGGAGCUUGAGCCACAGCUUGAAAGACCCUCUGUAGCCAAUCUCCAAUAAUCCCUUUUGCAUAUUCUAAAUGAGCCAAAGCACACACAAAAAAAAAAAACAACCCUUCUAAUCUACAGAUAGUUGGAAAAUGAGCUUUGUUAUGAUGCUACAUUAUUGUUUAAAUUACUGCCAGAAACAUCUUUUGUAAAGACCCAGUCUUCUAAACUAAGUAAGAAUUUUUAACAAUUUACAGCUUAUUAGUACUCAUAUAUAUAUAAAAAACAAAAGUAAACAUAUUUUAAACUUUUAUGCACCUUUCCAACCGCUGAAAUCCAGAUCUAGCACUGAUAACAAACCUUUCACACUUUACUGAAUGAAAACUAGACUCUCUGAAAAUAAUAUAUAUAUAAUUCUCUUUCUUUGUUUAACAUAAUUGUAUACAUUUAUUCUGUUGUGAAACGACUUUUUUUAGUUUAUGCACUGUGCAAAUAUUUUUGUCUGGUUUUGUUGAAUGAAAAUAAAUAAAUGAAUAAAAUAAACAAAUAGGCAAAUAAACAAAUAAAUGUUGGUGAAUCUGUUUAUCUACUAAUAUUGUGACAACUUUUUCCCAUUUCUGCAAAUUUUUUGCAAGUACUUUUUAUCAUCUUGUGAUGCUUUUUUUCAUUAAAAGAACAGGAAACCCUAUCCUGUCAAGUCACUCAAAAGCGGAUAAAAGAAUGUGUGACUGGUUAAAAAAAUAAAGGCAGAAAGUUAAAGUCAACAAGACUUUACAGAAACUUGCCAAAACAAAAUAAAACUGAAGACUCCAAACAUCCAUAAAGAGAUUAUAAAAGGAAAUAAACAUGUAGGGCAAUCAAGACGGUGCAAAGAAAAUGAAUGAUGGAAACUUCAGAGGUACUUAAAGUAAACGGACUGACAAAGAAAAAAGAAAAGAAAAAUAUUACAGACGCAAACAGGAGGUGGUUGAUGAGAAUUGUCAAAGAGAUCCCUUUUAUCUCUCUUUCUUCAGCUCCUUUCCUCGACCCCAAUGACAAAUGGCAUGGGUCAAAGGAGUGGAGACGGAGAGGAAACAGAAAAAAGAUCAGUAAAUUUGCAGAAUUUGGCUCCAUCCCAUAGCCGUAUACUACAGACAUUCAGAAAAAAAUAAAAUAAAUUGUUCAUAAAUUAGCAUUUUUUUGCGUGCGCAAUAUAGCAUUUUUUGGCCACAAUUUACUAUUUUUUAGGAGCAAAUCAGCAUGUUGUGCACACAAAUUCGCAUUUUUAGACCAUAACUUAGUAUUUUGGGCACACAGAUUAGCAUUUAGAGGCAACAGUUUAGAAUGUUGUAGGCGACACUUAAUAUUUUAUGGAGACAACUGAAUAUUUUGUGCAAACAAAUUAGCAUUUUGUGGCCACAAUUUACAAUUUUUUAGGAACAAAUUAGCAUUUUGUGCAAACAAAUUUGUAUUUUUGGACCAAAAUGUUGUAUUUGUGCGCACAGAUUAGCACCUGGUAGCCACAAUUUAGCAUUUAGUUGGCACAAUUUAAUAUUUUGUAGGCCUCAAAUUAAUAUUAUGUAGCCACAAUUUAAUAUUUUUAGGCUUCAAUAUAACAUUUUGUAGCAGAAUUUUCUAUUUUGUGCACACAAAUUAGCAUUUGGGUAAAAUUUAGUAUAAUGUGUAGUGUACACAAUAUAGCACUUUAACGUAUUUUAGGCAAAAUGUAAUAUUUUGAGAGCUUGACUUAUCAAUUAGUGGGCUCAAUUUAGUAUUUUUUACCCAACAUAAGCAUUUUGAUACCAAAAUUUAGUAUUUUUGGCACAUAAAUUAGCACUUUGUCCACACAAGUAUCUCAUGGCCACAAAUUAGCAGUAGGAAUUAAUUAUUAUAAAAACAGUAAUUAGUGUGCACAAAGACUUUAAACUUCAAACUAUUUAUUUGUAAAGGGUCUUUUGUUCGCGUGAAACACAAAGCACUACUAAUUCAUGUGCACAAAAUGCUAAUCUUUCUGCAACAAAAUGCUAAUUUGUGUGCACAAAAUGCUUAUAAAUGCACAUUUUUGGCCACAAAAUGCUAAUUUGUGGCAACAAAACAUCAAUUUGAGAGAACAAUUACUUAUUUUCUGUCAGGGGCUUUGUAACAUAAAGUAUAUAUAUACAUUAUUACAAUUUCAACUAUGAAGAUUGACUACAUACGUGCACGAAAUGGUGGGCAGCAUAAAAUAUUAACAGUGAGAAAGGCUGAUAUUUUAAGUGAGAUUCAUUUAGUAAGUUUAAGUGCUUUAAUAACAAUCUACAAAAAGCUCAACCAUGAAAUACAAGUAAAGGACAAAAUAUGCAACAUAAAAACAUUUGAUCCUGCUAUGCUGCUUUCAGUGUUUGGAAUAGUAGAAUUGGAAAAUGUUUGACUCCAACAAAAAUCAUCUGAUAAUGCAGAGAGGACAACUAAAUGUGAAGAAGUGGAGGGUUUUAAAGUCCUCAACGCUAAAACUUUCAAAAUGCUCCCUCUGCCUUUCCAUCCUCUUUAACUGUAUUUGUCUUUUGGAGUUCAGUGUUAAAUGAACCUUAGCAGACUGUGGGGAUAAAUUAAGAGUAAAAACUCUCUAGAAACAAGUGAUAACUUAGAGAACACAUUUAAAAAAUGAAGAUAUGUAGAGGUGAAAUAAGCAUUUACUUUGCUGUUCCUCAACUGUUCUCCAUUAGCCUGUGUAGGAAUUUUGCGAUGACGAAUCUCCAGCAGAAAUCAUAUUUUACAGAGCACUUGCUGGCCCCAGAAUACACAUUUUAAUUGUUUAUUCCUGUAUGUUUUCUAGUUUUAUACAAUACAGAUGGGAUUAUUUUAGGGAAACAAUACUUUCCUGAAUAAAAACAUAAAAAAAAAUGUCAGUUUGUCUCCUCGUGGCCCCAUGAUCAACUACUGACCUUUACCCUACAUGUCAUUCGAUGACAGCUGGGAUCCAUCGCCGUGCCCCCAUGACCCCGAACACCAAAGAGCAAUAAUAGUAAGGGAAAGGAUGGAGGGAUUACAUCUCAAGGGGAGUUUCAAAACUGACAGAACACAUCACCGCUCCAGCAACACAAUGCAGCACAGUGAGCCACUCUCCCGGGAGGCGAGUCAAGGUCGUGGACAUGAUAACACCUCCCGACUGCGGCACCCAGAUGUUCAGGGCGAGAUAUGAGCUGAGUGAAAAUGUAAGCAGCAGGAAUGUGCUCACUAGCUUACUUACCACGGGCUCUGGAAUUGAUUUUACCUGAUGCAGAAUAACAAGUGUUUCUAUUAUUGAUUUGUUUAUUUCUUUAUGAAUGAAAUAUGAAUGUCAAGUUUGGAGCCCUAAAGCUGCUUUUCCCCCCAAGAAGCUCCUAUAUGGGUUGAUUUGAUGAUUUUAUGAAGCCCCUAUGUAAAAGUUAUAUAUAUAUAUAUAUAUAAGUAUGGUAUUAAAAAAUGAAGCUCAUUGGGUUGCUAUUUGUUGAACAAAAAGGGUAACAAGUGAUUCAUUCCUCAGGGCACACUAGAACCAGAACAUCUCUAGUGCUUGAUAAACAUCUUGGCCAAGUAGGUCACCAGGACAUUUGAACUGGAGAGUAAAUCAGGCGGCGUGUCUGCAGUACACGGGAGAGGAUGCACAUUUUGCAACCUUUAGCUUAGAUUCCUGCAGCCGAAAUGCACUUGAGAACUUUGUGUUUUGCUGUAUGUACACACAAGGUAUUGAGACUGAGAGGCAUAAUGUUCACACUGGACAAACAGGGAGGGGCUUCUUCUUUUUCUUUUUUUUUUUACUAGCCCUUGGGCUAACCUAGGUAUGUUUAAAUUAAAAGUGGGGUCAUCUAGACCAGUGGUCCCCAGGCACCGGGCCACGGAAGACCUAGUAAAUGAUGCCAGUUUUUUUUUUUUUUUUUUUUUUGAGUCAGAAAUCUUUUAUUUUGAAAAUCAACCGGAUUCUCUCGAUUUGACUGAGCGCUAAAAGCAGUCCAGCGGUGUGUAACCAUUGACAUGAAUAUCUUUUUCUUAUUAAACGGUCUAUGCAUGUAACACGAGAAUAGUUGUAUGUGGAACCUUACUUUGCAAAUGGAUGGGAUUAGUGCAGCAACAGAGGGACAGACAGAAGAACAGGUGAUUCCCACACACUGUGCCUGUUUACAUAGAGAUGUGCCUUUCACAAACGAAUCUAAUCUUUUGAACUGUCACAAAAAUGCUCAAACAAGGUCAUCCAUUCAGAUGCACAUUUCAGAGAAGUUGUGAACACGAUUCAUGCAAAAACUUUUGCAAGUAAGCGUGUACAAGAGGAGGGGGGCUCAGUCUUAGUCAGGAGUUUAAAAAAAUGUGUUUGUGUUAAAAUGUUUCACUUUUGCAUGAAGCUUCAAAGUAUUCUGAUUUGUUUCCUAUUGAGCAUCAAUUAUUGAUUUGUUGUACAUGUUGUGAAUGUAUAGAAGUUGUUUUUUUUUUAAACUUGAUUUGAACCACUUCUGACAUGACUGUUCCGUUAUGACCCAAGGGUAUAAUGCCAUUCAAAGUGUGCAUUAUCAGAAAUGAACGCACUUCACUGAAGCAAGGCUGUCACGGCGAGCAUUA